rnacentral:rRNA from 1 species
UACAGGGGGGGCAAGCGUUGUUCGGAAUUACUGGGCGUAAAGGGCUCGUAGGUGGCCAACUAAGUCAGACGUGAAAUCCCUCAGCUUAACUGGGGAACUGCGUCUGAUACUGGAUGGCUUGAGUUUGGGAGAGGGAUGCGGAAUUCCAGGUGUAGCGGUGAAAUGCGUAGAUAUCUGGAGGAACACCGGUGGCGAAGGCGGCAUCCUGGACCAAUACUGACGUUGAGGAGCGAAAGCCAGGGGAGCAAACGGG